GUUUGCUGGAUCCAGCACACCACACGGGAGAUCAUUAUGGGGGAAAGCUGCCACACCUAGUCCCAUGGAGCAGGGGGCUUAAACAACAGAAAUUCAUUUUCUCACAGUUCUGGAGACUAGAAGGCCAAGAGCAAGAUGUCUGCAGGGGGACACGGGUUUGAGCCCUGAUCCAGGAAGAUCCCACAUGCCGUGGAGCAACCAAGCCUGUGAGCCACAACUGCUGAGCCUGCAUGCCGCAACUACUGAAGCCCACGUGCCUAGAGCCCGUGCUCCACAACAAAGAGAAGCCACCGCAAUGAGAAGCCUGCGCACUGCAACAAAGAGCAGCCCCCGCUCGACGUAACUAGAGAAAGCCUGCGCACAGCAACGAAGACCCAAC